GCUGAUAAAGAAGGAAAUUCUUCUGCUAUCUCUGAGCAGAGGUGGUUGGCUGUGUUAGUCUCUGCCUAUUUUAUCUAUCUUAUCUAAAGCAGCUGUCUCUAUGGUUUGGGAUGGUGGUGGAGGAAGGGAGGAGGGGUAGCAGGCAAAGAACCUGACUCCAUUGCAAUGCGAGUGGUGGGCUACCCCAAAUCUCUUGGGAUAGAGAAGAAGCAGAUGAGCUCCAGAAAAGUCUGCUGGGAAGCAGAUGACUACAGAGCCUGGGGCAGGCAGGCAGCAGCUCCAGGCAAAUGGAUUGGAUGCCAAUCCACCCCUGCCUUCUGCGCAGCUGUCGUAGUAUCUUACUGCCUGUUGAAAAAAGAAGAUGCAGCCAUUGGCAAUCUCUGACUUCCUCAGAAAUGGACUGUUCUGUGCUCAGGUAUUAAAUAUGGGGAUGACCUGGAAGAGUCGGUCCUGCCAGAGGAGAAUUUUCUUCUCUUGUUGAAAGGAGUAUUGUGCAAAUCUUAUUCAAGAUACUGAAAAGCGUUAGUGUUCACAUAUCACAGCUGGUGUGUGCCAACUCCUCCAGGCUGUGUUUUUUUUAUUGCCCUUUACUUUCUGUACUUAAAAAGGUUAGCGCCAGGUAACAUGUUACCUUUUUGAUUGAUUUGAUUUUGAUUGAUUUGAUUUUCAUUUAGCUUGUGGUGGUAUAAAUGACUGCACAAGGUGAAGACAAUGAAUGAUCAGGUCUCUUUGGUUUUGCUUUUUGUUCCUUAACUGUGCCACAUUUGAGUCUAUUCCCCUUACCUGUUUCUUCCUCUGAUGGUAGUCUUUAACCCAGUUCUUUCAAUAUAUGGGCAAUAACAUAAGUCUCUUUUAUUUGUAUGAUAUCACUCAGGAAAGUUAGAAAAGGAAGCAUUCCAGCUCUUUAAGACUUUGAGGCCACUGGGAAUUAUCUGAGUCUAUUACAGCUGUGAAUUCAAAUUUGGCAAGCUAUUAUCAUCUAUGAUUUGUAUUACAGUCAUGCCUAGAGGCGAGAAUCUCAUUGUGCUAGGCCUUGUUGAAACUGUAACAAAGGGGCAGUCUCUGUGAUUCUGUCUCUGUACUUGAUUCAGGACUUAAAAUUUCUGCAACUGUUCAUUUAUCGAGUUUAUUAGCGGCUAUAGCACUUGAACCAUGUGGAUUCUUUGUCAAAUUUUGCACAAUCUUCUUAACACUUUCAUAUUCGAAUAGUGAUAGGUCCUAGAAACCCCCUUCAGGGAUUGUGGCCAUGUAAAAAAAGAAGGCGCUCCUUACUUUAAAGAGCGUACAGGUUUCAGUAUAAGAGAGACUACAGAUGAAUACAACAGAGGGGAG